CCAGGAAUCAAAAUAGAAAUUAGUGAUAGUAAAGUUGAUAUAAUUUAUGACUCUCUGUGCAUCAAUCGUGUACUGAGUAUUCGUAAUUUUAAUGAAAAUUUUAUUGAUGUGUCAGGACUGGACGAGCGAAUUAGUUUUUCAAUAAAAACAAUUCUCAAAGCCAUCGAUAAGCUGUUAAAAAGUGUACCGAUCCCAAGUCAGUAUGAUGUCAUCGAUGCUGAUAAUGCCCGAGAAAAGGUGAUUAAGCGUUUAGAAAUCGCCACCGAACGAGCAGCUGAUUAUUUUAACAGUAAGCGGGCUAAAGCAGUGUUGUACUCUGUAGGUGAUUUGGUAGCCGUGCAAGACAGUCAAUUGGCGGGCGGUGGCAAAUUAAAGCCUAAGUUUCAAGGUCCCUUUCAGGUGAUCCAUUGUUUAGAAAAUGAGGGAUAUGUCUUAAAGCGAACAAAUGGGCAGCGUAGAACAACGGUGGCAGCACAGGAGCAACUGAGACGUUGGCCUGAAGAAGUGCAGCCUGACUGUGGUCAAGCAGACCAACAAUGAUGACGGUGCGAGGACGCCCCAGUGUCAGGAAGGCCGUGUUAGCACAACACGGUUCUUAUCUACGAUUUCCUGGUAUGUCGGUAUGCCGACCCAGUAUGCCGAUGCUGCAGAUUCGGUUGUUUUAUAAAAAUUUAUAUUCAGUCGGACCGCGAUCAGUUUAACGCCAAUAUAUUUUGUUACAUUUGUUAAUUAUUAUACCAGUUUAUUGAAAA